UACAGAGGGUGCAAGCGUUAAUCGGAAUUACUGGGCGUAAAGCGCGCGUAGGUGGUUUGUUAAGUUGGAUGUGAAAUCCCCGAGCUUAACUUGGGAAUUGCGCUCGAAACUACGUGGCUCGAGUGUGGCAGAGGAAGGUGGAAUUCCACGUGUAGCGGUGAAAUGCGUAGAGAUGUGGAGGAACACCGAUGGCGAAGGCAGCCUUCUGGGCCAACACUGACGCUCAUGCACGAAAGCGUGGGGAGCAAACAGG
rnacentral:rRNA from 1 species